CUACGGGAGGCAGCAGUGGGGAAUAUUGGACAAUGGGCGCAAGCCUGAUCCAGCCAUGCCGCGUGAGUGAUGAAGGCCUUAGGGUUGUAAAGCUCUUUUACCCGGGAUGAUAAUGACAGUACCGGGAGAAUAAGCCCCGGCUAACUCCGUGCCAGCAGCCGCGGUA
rnacentral:rRNA from 1 species